GUUGGGUAGGGGAGCGUUCUGUAAGCCUGCGAAGGUGUACUGUGAGGUAUGCUGGAGGUAUCAGAAGUGCGAAUGCUGACAUAAGUAACGAUAAUGCGGGUGAAAAACCCGCACGCCGGAAGACCAAGGGUUCCUGUCCAACGUUAAUCGGGGCAGGGUGAGUCGACCCCUAAGGCGAGGCUGAAAAGCGUAGUCGAUGGGAAACGGGUUAAUAUUCCCGUACUGGUGGUAACUGCGAUGGGGGAACGGAGAAGGCUAGGUUGUCCGGGCGACGGUCGUCCCGGUUCAAGCAGGUAGGCAGAGUGAUUAGGCAAAUCCGGUCACUUAAUGCUGAGAUGUGAUGACGAACCACUAAGGUGGUGAAGCAAUUGAUGCCCCGCUUCCAGGAAAAGCCUCUAAGCUUCAGGUUACCAACAAUCGUACCCCAAACCGACACAGGUGGUCAGGUAGAGAAUACUCAGGCGCUUGAGAGAACUCGGGUGAAGGAACUAGGCAAAAUGGUGCCGUAACUUCGGGAGAAGGCACGCUGGCGGUAGGUAAAGUCCCUCGCGGACGGCGCUGAAGCCAGUCGAAGAUACCAGCUGGCUGCAACUGUUUAUUAAAAACACAGCACUGUGCAAACACGAAAGUGGACGUAUACGGUGUGACGCCUGCCCGGUGCUGGAAGGUUAAUUGAUGGGGUUAGCCGUAAGGCGAAGCUCCUGAUCGAAGCCCCAGUAAACGGCGGCCGUAACUAUAACGGUCCUAAGGUAGCGAAAUUCCUUGUCGGGUAAGUUCCGACCUGCACGAAUGGCGUAAUGAUGGCCAGGCUGUCUCCACCCGAGACUCAGUGAAAUUGAACUCGCUGUGAAGAUGCAGUGUACCCGCGGCAAGACGGAAAGACCCCGUGAACCUUUACUAUAGCUUGACACUGAACAUUGAGCCUUGAUGUGUAGGAUAGGUGGGAGGCUUUGAAGUGUGGACGCCAGUCUGCAUGGAGCCAACCUUGAAAUACCACCCUUUAACGUUUGAUGUUCUAACCUAGGCCCAUAAACUGGGUCGGGGACCGUGUCUGGUGGGUAGUUUGACUGGGGCGGUCUCCUCCUAAAGAGUAACGGAGGAGCACGAAGGUUGGCUAAGCAUGGUCGGACAUCAUGCGGUUAGUGCAAAGGCAUAAGCCAGCUUGACUGCGAGAGUGACGGCUCGAGCAGGUACGAAAGUAGGUCUUAGUGAUCCGGUGGUUCUGAAUGGAAGGGCCAUCGCUCAACGGAUAAAAGGUACUCCGGGGAUAACAGGCUGAUACCGCCCAAGAGUUCAUAUCGACGGCGGUGUUUGGCACCUCGAUGUCGGCUCAUCACAUCCUGGGGCUGAAGUAGGUCCCAAGGGUAUGGCUGUUCGCCAUUUAAAGUGGUACGCGAGCUGGGUUUAGAACGUCGUGAGACAGUUCGGUCCCUAUCUGCCGUGGGCGUUGGAAGAUUGAGAGGGGUUGCUCCUAGUACGAGAGGACCGGAGUGAACGCACCACUGGUGUUCGGGUUGUCAUGCCAAUGGCAUUGCCCGGUAGCUAAGUGCGGAAGAGAUAACCGCUGAAAGCAUCUAAGCGGGAAACUUGCCUCGAGAUGAGUCUUCCCUGUCGCUUUAAGCGACCUAAAGGAACGUUUAAGACUAAGACGUUGAUAGGCUGGGUGUGUAAGCGUAGCGAUACGUUGAGCUAACCAGUACUAAUGAACCGUGAGGCUUAACCUG
rnacentral:rRNA from 1 species